rnacentral:lncRNA from 1 species
CACACUGAUUUGGUCUUUAUAGGAGAAAAUGAGUUUGGAGACAACAGGCAACAGCCUGUCCUUUUACAUAUCUGGGGGGGAACAAGCUUCACAAACACUUAGAGCCUUUCUCUAAACAGAUGCCUUUGAAUGAAAGGCUGGGUGGCUUGUCUUUGUUUCUUGAAAAUACCAAAAGUAAUUGGGACCAGGACACAUUCACCUUGGAGUCAAAACCACUGCUUUUACUGGAGCCCCUCUUCGACAGGGAGUCAGUAGGAGGGACCCAGGGCUGCCAUUGCCCUCCAAGGCCGUGGAUCCCUGGCAAAUGUCUUGUUGAUGCGGUCUACAGCGGUGUCCUUCACUGAGGUAUGGGUUUUUCAUUUCACGUUAUCAGUGAUGAGAUGCUCCACUCUGAUGAAUUUCACUUGGCACCAGGUCGUGGUACAGACCUAGAAAUUUCAUCUUUUAGUUCACUAUUUAAUCGCUACA